CCGAGUUUACAACUCCCAAACCCAAUGUGAACCAUACCAAACUGUUGCCUCGGCGGGGUCACGCCCCGGGUGCGUCGCAGCCCCGGAACCAGGCGCCCGCCGGAGGGACCAACCAAACCCUGAUUACAUUAAAGAAUUCUUCUGAGUAACCGAUUAAAUAAAUCA
rnacentral:misc_RNA from 1 species